rnacentral:lncRNA from 1 species
AAAAUUGAAAAACAUAUAAGUUCUAACAAUAUAAAAAGUUUGAGAAUUUAAAAACACAAAUAAGAAAUGAAAGGAAAUUUAUGGAAAAAAAAAAAGAAAAGACAAAAGAUUUGGAAUAAAAAAUAGAAAAAUAAAAUUUUUAAAACGACGAAAAAUUAAAAUAAGAAAAAAAAUUAAAGCAAAAGAAAAAAGAUAAAUAAAGCAUGAAAAAAGAAAAAAAACAAAAAUACAACAAAAAAUUAUAAAAGGUAAGAAAAUGAAAGAGGACAAAAAAUGAAUAAAAAUUUCAAAAAUGAAAUGGAAUGACAAAAUGAAAAUAAAAUUAGUUUAAAAAAUAAAAAAAAAUUGAAAAACAUAUAAGACCUAACAAUAUAAAAAGUCAGACAAAAAAUUAAAAAAGAGAAAAGUUAAUGCAAAAUAAAAAAAAAGUAUGAGAAUUUAAAAGCGCAAAUAAGAAAUGAAAGGAAAUUUGAGGAAAAAAAGAGACAAAAGAUUUGGAAUAAAAAAUAGAAAAAUAGAAAAUUUUAAAACAACAAAAAAAAUUAAAAACAAGUAAAAAUGAAAGCAUAUGAAAAAAAAGCAAAAAGAAGGCAAAUUAUGAAGGGAAAAAGUUAUUAAAAAAUUACAAAGUAGAAAAAAAAGAAAAUAAAAAAAUAAAUUAAGAGAAAAAAUUAAAUAAAAUACCAAAAAAGGAAAAAAUAAAAAUAAACAAAGUAAGAAAAUAAAAAAUUAGCGAAUCAAAAAAUAUAAAAAGACAAAAUGAAUAAAAAUUUCAAAUAUAAAAUGAAAAAAACUAUUGGUUCAGAAUGUACAAAGAAAAAUAAAAAAAAUAUAACAAACAGAGGAAAAAGAUAUAAAAUAUGAAAGAUGAAAAAUAAAAUAAAAGAAAGUGCACAAAAAAAGAAGUUUGAGGUUUUAAAACUAUAAAGAAGAAAUAAAAAAAGGUGUGAACAAAAAGAUUUAAGAAAAAAAAUGAAAUACAAAAUAUAUAAAAUAAAAUUUGAGAAAAAGAAGAAAAAAAUAAAAAAUGAAGAGGCAAAAAUAUGAAAUAAAAGAAAAAGAAAAAAUUUAUAGAAAAUUUUUAAACAAAGAAAAAAGUGAACAAAAAAGAAUGAUGGCAUAUAAAAAAAAAGAAGAAAAAUUUGGAAGGAGAAAAAGUUAAUGAAAAAAAUAUAAAAAUGCAAUAGAAAAUAACCAAGAAUGAUAAAAGAAAAAAAGAUAGAAAAAUAAAAAAUUCUAAAACUUUAUAAAAAUUUAUGAAAUUAUAAAUAAAGAAAGAAAAUAAAAAAGAAAAAAAGUAAAGCAAAAGAAAAAAGAUAAAUAAAGCACAAAAAAAACAAAAAUACAACAAAAAAUAUAAAAAGUAAGAAAAUAAAAAAAGGACAAAAAUUGAAUAAAAAUUUCAAAAAUGAAAUGGAAUGACAAAAUGAAAAAAAAAUUAGUUUAAAAAAUACAAAAAAUUGAAAAACAUAUAAGACCUAAUAAUAUAAAAAGUCAGAGAAAAAAUUAAAAAAGAGCAAAGUUAAUGCAAAAUAAAAAAAAAGUAUGAGAAUUUAAAAACGCAAAUAAGAAAUGAAAGGAAAUUUGUGGAAAAAAAAAAGAGAAGCAAGAAAAGAAUAAAAAUGAAAGCAAAAGAUUUGGAAUAAAAAACAGAAAAAUAAAAAUUUUUAAAACAACAAAAAAAUUAAAACAAGUAAAAAUGAAAGCAUAUGAAAAAAAGGCAAAGAGAAGGAAAAUUGUGAAGGGAAAAAGUUAUUAAAAAAAUUACAAAAUGGAAAAAAGAAAAAUAAAUUAAGGGAAAAAAUUAAAUAAAAUACGAAAAAAGGGAAAAAUAAAAAUAAACAAAGAAAGAAAAUAAAAAAUUAGCGAAUCAAAAAAAUAUAAAAAGACAAAAUGAAUAAAAAUUUCAAAUAUAAAAUGGAAAAAACUUUUAGUUUAGAAUGUACAAAGAAAAAGAAAAAAAAUAAUAGCAAAUAGAGGAAAAAGAUAUAAAAUAUGAAAGAUGAAAAAUAAAAUAAAAGAAAGUGCACAAAAAAAGAAGUUUGAGGUUUUAAAAUUAUAAAGAAGAAAUAAAAAAAGGUGUGAACACAAAGAUUUAAGAAAAAAAUACAAAAUAUAUAAAAUAAAAUUUGAGAAAAAGAAGAAAAAAUAAAAAUGAAGAGGCAAAAAAUGAAAUAAAACAAAAAGAAAAAAAUUUAUAGAAAAUUUUAAAACAAAGAAAAAAGCGAACAAAAGAGAAUGAAAGCACAUAAAAAAAGUAAAAAAGAAGAAAAUUUUGAAAAGAGAAAAAGUUAAUGAAAAAUUAUAAAAAUGCAAUAGAAAAUAACCAAGAAUGAUAAAAGAAAAAAGAUAGAAAAAAAAAAUUCCAAAACUUUAUAAAAAUUUAUGAAAUUAUAAUAAAGAAAGAAAAUAAAAUAAGAAAAAAUUAAAGCAAAAGAAAAAGAUAAUAAAGCAUGAAAAGAAAAAAAACAAAAUACAACAAAAAAUUAUAAAAAGUAAGAAAAUGAAAAAGGACAAAAAUUGAAUAAAAAUUUCAAAAAUGAAAUGGAAUGACAAAAUGAAAAAAAAAAUUAGUUUAAAAAAUACAAAAAUUAAAAAACAUAUAAGACCAAACAAUCUAAAAAGUCUGACAAAAAUUAAAAAAGAGAAAAGUUAAUGCAAAAUAAAAAAAAAAGUAUGAGAAUUUAAAAACGCAAAUAAGAAAUGAAAGGAAAUUUGUGGAAAAAAAGAAAGACAAAGAUUUGGAAUAAAAAAGAGAAAAAUAAAAAUUUUUAAAACAACGAAAAAUUAAAAAAAGUAAAAAUGAAAACAUAUGAAAAAAAAGCAAAAAGAAGGAAAAUUGCAAAGGGAAAAAGUUAUUAAAAAUUUACAAAGUAAAAAAAAUUAGGGAAUCAAAAAAUAUAAAAGGAAAAAAUAAAAAUAAACAAAGUAAGAAAAUAAAAAUUAGGGAAUCAAAAAUAUAAAAAGACAAAAUGAAUAAAAAUUUCGAAUAUAAAAAGAAAGUGCACAAAAAAAGAAGUUUGAGGUUUUAAAAUUACAAAGAAGAAAUAAAAAAAGGUGUGAACAAAAAGAUUUAAGAAAAAAAUAACAAAUGAAAAUACAAAAUAUAUAAAAAAAUAUUUGAGAAAAAAUGAGAAAAAGAAGAAAAAAUAAAAAUGAAGAGGCAAAAAUAUGAAAUAAAACAAAAAGAAAAAAAAUACAAAAAAAGGACAAAAAUUGAAUAAAAAUUUCAAAAAUGAAAUGGAACGACAAAAUGAAAAAAAAAAGUUUAAAAAAGACAAAAAAAAUGAAAAACGUAUAAGUCCUAACAAUAUAAAAAGUCAGACAAAAAAUUAAAAAAGAGAAAAGUUAAUGCAAAAAAAAAAAAGUAUGAGAAUUUAAAAAUGCAAAUAAGAAAUGAAAGGAAAUGUGUGGAAAAAAAAGAGAAGCAAGAAAAGACAAAAGAUUUGGAAUAAAAAUAGAAAAAUAAAAAUUUUUAAAACAACGAAAAAAUUAAAACCAGUAAAAAUGAAAGCAUAUGAAAAAAAAGCAAAAAGAAGGAAAAUUGUGAAGGAAAAAGUUAUUAAAAAAUUACAAAGUUGAAAAAAAAUAAAUUAAGCGAAAAAAUUAAAUAAAAUACCCAGAAAGGAAAAAUAAAAAUAAACAAAGUAAGAAAAUAAAAAAUUAGCGAAGCAAAAAAUAUAAAAAGACAAAUGAAUAAAAAUUUCAAAUAUAAAAUGGAAAAAACUUUUAGUUUAGAAUGUAGAAAGAAAAACAAAAAAAAAAAAAACAAAUAGAGGAAAAAGAUAUAAAAUAUGAAAGAUGAAAAAUAAAAUAAAAGAAAGUGCACAAAAAAGAAGUUUGAGGUUUUAAAAUUAUAAAGAAGAAAUAAAAAAAGGUGCGAACAAAAAGAUUUAAGAAAAAAAUAAAAAAUGAAAAUGCAAAAUAUAUAAAAUAAAAUUUGAGAAAAAGAAGAAAAAAAUAAAAAAUGAAGAGGCAAAAAUAUGAAAAAAAAAUAAAAAGAAAAAAAUUUAUAGAAAAUUUUAAAACAAAGAAAAAAGUGAACAAAAAAAAAUGAAAGCACAUAAAAAAAAGUAAAAAAAAGAAGAAAAAUUCGGAAGGAGAAAAAGUUAAUGAAAAAUUAUAAAAAUGCAAUAGAAAAUAACCAAGAAUGAUAAAAGAAAAAAAGAUAGAAAAAUAAAAAAUUCCAAAACUUUAUAAAAAUUUAUGAAAUUAUAAAUAAAGAAAGAAAAUAAAACACGAAAAAAAAUUAAAGCAAAAGAAAAAAGAUAAAUAAAGCACAAAAAAAAAAACAAAAAUACAACAAAAAAUAUAAAAAGUAAGAAAAUGAAAAAGGACAAAAAUUGAAUAAAAAUUUCAAAAAUGAAAUGGAAUGACAAAAUGAAAAAAAUUAGUUUAAAAAAUACAAAAAAUUGAAAAACAUAUAAGUUCUAACAAUAUAAAAAGUUUGGGAAUUUAAAAACACAAAUAAGAAAUGAAAGGAAAUUUAUGGAAAAAAAAAAGAAAAGACAAAAGAUUUGGAAUAAAAAAUAGAAAAAUAAAAUUUUUAAAACGACGAAAAAUUAAAAUAAGAAAAAAAAUUAAAGCAAAAGAAAAAAGAUAAAUAAAGCAUGAAAAAAGAAAAAAAAAAAAACAAAAAAUUAUAAAAGGUAAGAAAAUGAAAGAGGACAAAAAAUGAAUAAAAAUUUCAAAAAUGAAAUGGAAUGACAAAAUGAAAAUAAAAUUAGUUUAAAAAAUAAAAAAAAUUGAAAAACAUAUAAGACCUAACAAUAUAAAAAGUCAGACAAAAAAUUAAAAAAGAGAAAAGUUAAUGCAAAAUAAAAAAAAAGUAUGAGAAUUUAAAAGCGCAAAUAAGAAAUGAAAGGAAAUUUGAGGAAAAAAAGAGACAAAAGAUUUGGAAUAAAAAAUAGAAAAAUAGAAAAUUUUAAAACAACAAAAAAAAUUAAAACAAGUAAAAAUGAAAGCAUAUGAAAAAAAAGCAAAAAGAAGGCAAAUUAUGAAGGGAAAAAGUUAUUAAAAAAUUACAAAGUAGAAAAAAAGAAAAUAAAAAAAUAAAUUAAGAGAAAAAAUUAAAUAAAAUACCAAAAAAGGAAAAAUAAAAAUAAACAAAGUAAGAAAAUAAAAAAUUAGCGAAUAAAAAAAUAUAAAAAGACAAAAUGAAUAAAAAUUUCAAAUAUAAAACGAAAAAAACUAUUGGUUCAGAAUGUACAAAGAAAAAUAAAAAAAAUAUAACAAACAGAGGAAAAAGAUAUAAAAUAUGAAAGAUGAAAAAUAAAAUAAAAGAAAGUGCACAAAAAAAGAAGUUUGAGGUUUUAAAACUAUAAAGAAGAAAUAAAAAAAGGUGUGAACAAAAAGAUUUAAGAAAAAAAAAGAAAAUACAAAAUAUAUAAAAUAAAAUUUGAGAAAAAGAAGAAAAAAUAAAAAAUGAAGAGGCAAAAAUAUGAAAUAAAGAAAAAGAAAAAAUUUAUAGAAAAUUUUAAAACAAAGAAAAGUGAACAAAAAAGAAUGAUGGCAUAUAAAAAAAGUAAAAAAAGAAGAAAAAUUUGGAAGGAGAAAAAGUUAAUGAAAAAAUAUAAAAAUGCAAUAGAAAAUAACCAAGAAUGAUAAAAGAAAAAAAGAUAGAAAAGUAAAAAAUUCUAAAACUUUAUAAAAAUUUAUGAAAUUAUAAAUAAAGAAAGAAAAAAAAAUAAAAUAAAAUAAGAAAAAAAAGUAAGCAAAAGAAAAAAGAUAAUUAAAGCAAAAAAAAACAAAAAUACAACAAAAAAUAUAAAAAGUAAGAAAAUAAAAAAAGGACAAAAAUUGAAUAAAAUUUCAAAAAUGAAAUGGAAUGACAAAAUGAAAAAAAAAUUGUUUUAACAAAAAAUUGAAAAACAUAUAAGACCUAAUAAUAUAAAAGUCAGAGAAAAAAUUAAAAAGAGCAAAGUUAAUGCAAAAUAAAAAAAAAGUAUGAGAAUUUAAAAACGCAAAUAAGAAAUGAAAGGAAAUUUGUGGGAAAAAAAAAAGAAAAGACAAAAGAUUUGGAAUAAAAAACAGAAAAAUAAAAAUUUUAAAACAAUGAAAAAUUAAAACAAGUAAACAUGAAAGCAUAUGUAAAAAAAGCAAAAAGAAGGAAAAUUGUGAAGGGAAAAAGUUAUUAAGAAAUUACAAAGUAGAAAAAAAUAAGAAAAUAAAAAAAAUAAAUAAAAUACCAAAAAAGGAAAAAAUAAAAAAUUAGCGAAUCAAAAAAAUAUAAAAAGACAAAAUGAAUAAUCAAAUAUAAAAUGGAAAAAACUUUUAGUUUAGAAUUUACAAAGAAAAAGAAAAAAAAUAACAAAUAGAGGAAAAAGAUAUAAAAUAUGAAAGAUGAAAAAUAAAAUAAAAGAAAGUGCACAAAAAAGAAGUUUGAGGUUUUAAAGUUAUAAAGAAGAAAAAAAAAAGGUGUGAACAAAAAGAUUUAAGAAAAAAAUAAAAAAUGAAAAUACAAAAUAUAUAAAAUAAAAUUUGAGAAAAAGAAGAAAAAAAAUAAAGAAUGAAGAGGCAAAAAUAUGAAAUAAAACAAAAAGAAAAAAAUUUAUAGAAAAUUUUAAAACAAAGAAAAAACUGAACGAAAAAGAAUGAAAGCACAUAAAAAAAAGUAAAAAAAGAAGAAAAAUUCGGAAGGAGAAAAAGUUAAUGAAAAAUUAUAAAAAUGCAACAGAAAAUAACCAAGAAUGAUAAAAGAAAAAAAGAUAGAAAAAUAAAAAAUUUCAAAACUUUAUAAAAAUUUAUGAAAUUAUGAAUAAAGAAAGAAAAUAAAAUAAGAAAAAAAAUUAAAGCAAAAGAAAAAAGAUAGAUAAAGCACGAAAAAAGAAAAAAAAACAAAAAUACAACAAAAAAUUAUAAAAAGUAAGAAAAUGAAAAAGGACAAAAAUUGAAUAAAAAUUUCAAAAAUGAAAUGGAGUGACAAAAUGAAAAAAAAAAUUAGUUUAAAAAAUACAAAAAUUUAAAAAACAUAUAAGACCAAACAAUCUAAAAAGUCUGACAAAAAAUUAAAAAAGAGAAAAGUUAAUGCAAAAUUAAAAAAAAAAAGUAUGAGAAUUUAAAAACGCAAAUAAGAAAUGAAAGGAAAUUUGUGGAAAAAAAAAGAAAAGACAAAAGAUUUGGAAUAAAAAAGAGAAAAAUAAAAAUUUUUAAAACAACGAA